UACAGAGGGUGCGAGCGUUAAUCGGAAUUACUGGGCGUAAAGCGUGCGUAGACGGUUUCGUAAGUCGGGUGUGAAAUCCCCGGGCUCAACCUGGGAAUUGCAUUCGAAACUGCGAGGCUAGGGUACGGAAGAGGGAAGCGGAAUUUCUGGUGUAGCGGUGAAAUGCGUAGAUAUCAGAAGGAACAUCAGUGGCGAAAGCGACUUCCUGGACCAAUACUGACGCUCAUGUGCGAAAGCGUGGGGAGCAAACAGG
rnacentral:rRNA from 1 species